rnacentral:rRNA from 1 species
AUUGAACGCUGGCGGCAGGCCUAACACAUGCAAGUCGAACGAGUGGCGGACGGGUGAGAAAUGUCUGGGAAACUGCCUGAUGGAGGGGGAUAACUACUGGAAACGGUAGCUAAUACCGCAUACCAUAAGAUGUGGCCAGCUGGGAUUAGCUAGUUGGUGGGGUAGCGGCUCACCAAGGCGGCGAUCCCUAGCUGGUCUGAGAGGAGGACCAGCCACACUGGCACUGUUGCACGGUCCAUACUCCUACGGGAGGCAGCGGUGGGAGAUGUUGCACAAUGUGCGCAAGCCUGAUGCAGCCAUGCCAGGUGUGUGAAGAGGGCCUUCGGGUUGUAAAGUACUUUCAGCGGUGAGGCGUUACCCGCAGAAGAAGCGCCGGCUAACUCCGUGCCAGCCGCCGCGGUAAUAC